rnacentral:rRNA from 1 species
GAAAAGCUUCUGGAUGAGCUGAGGGUGGGGGUGAAAGGCUAAUCAAACUUGGAGAUAGCUCGUACUCCCCGAAAUGCAUUUAGGUGCAGCCUUGGGAAUUACUACUGUGAGGUAGAGCGACUGAUAAGAUGCGAGGGCUUCACCGCCUAUCAAGUCUUGAUAAACUCCGAAUGCGCAGUAGUUCGAUCCCAGGAGUGAGGGCAUGGGUGCUAAGGUCCAUGUCCUAAAGGAGAAGAAUCCAGACCAUCAGCUAAGGUCCCGAAAUAAUUGCUAAGUUGAACUAACGAAGUCAGAUUGCUAAGACAGCUAGGAUGUUAGCUUGGAAGCAGCUAUUCAUUCAAAGAGUGCGUAACAGCUCACUAGUCGAGCGGCAAAGCGUGGAUAAUAAACGGGCAUCAAGUAUACCACCGAAGUUCUGGGCACGAAAGUGCGGUAGGGGAGCAUUCCAUUCCGCGUUGAAGCCGAACCGUGAGGUUUGGUGGAGUGUAUGGAAAAGCAAAUGUAGGCAUGAGUAACGAUAAUGCGGGAGAGUAACCCGCACACCGCAAGACCAAGGUUUCCUGAUCAACGCUAAUCGGAUCAGGGUUAGUCGGGUCCUAAGGGUAAGCCGAACGGUGAUCUCGAUGGAUAAUCGGUUAAUAUUCCGAUACUGACAUAUACCUCGAUGGAGAGACGAAGGAACGUAAGUGCCGCCACCUGACGGAAUAGGUGGUUAAAGGGCUUAGGUAUAGGGACAGAUUAAGAGUUAGUCCUUGCUGAAACCUGACAGUACAGAGAGCCUACGGGCAAUUUGAUAGUGCACCCAAGUCGACUUCCGAGAAAAUCUUCUAAGUUAUAGUAUAUGUCACCCGUACCGUAAACCGACACAGGUGGUCGAGGAGAGUAUCCUAAGGUGCUCGAGUGAAUCACGGUUAAGGAACUAGGCAAAUUAACCCCGUAACUUCGGGAAAAGGGGUCCCAUCGCGAGGUGGGCGCAGCGAAGAGAUCCAGGCGACUGUUUAUCAAAAACACAGGGCUCUGCAAAUUCGAAAGAAGACGUAUAGGGCCUGACACCUGCCCGGUGCUGGAAGGUUAAGAGGGGAUGUCAUCGCAAGAGAAGCAUUGAAUCGAAGCCCCAGUAAACGGCGGCCGUAACUAUAACGGUCCUAAGGUAGCGAAAUUCCUUGUCGGGUAAGUUCCGACC